rnacentral:lncRNA from 1 species
ACGCCACGUUCCCUCGUCCACUGGGGCGCCCCCCUGGAGUCCCGGGAGCGCAGGGAGGGUGCCCUUCGCGUCGCGCGGAUGACAGGAUCAACCCUACGUCGGAACUGGGCAGCGACUUUAGGAGUGGAAGCCGGGCCUGUCGUCUUCCCGCGGGCCUGGCAGCAGCGUGGGGCGAUGACACCUGGGGAGGAGCUCCAGCCUGAGGGAUUGAAGCAAAGACAAGCCUCUGCACCAGUACCCCAGCUAACUACCAGGUCCUGAGGAGGAGGUGUCCCCAGGGGCUCACCGUUCGGAUCUCGCCUGGAAGUGGGCUCAGCCCCAGCCCUCUGGCCC